GUGUAAGGGACAGCUCAGGAUGCGAUGGCUCUUCUGUCCAGGACCCGUGGAGUCGGGAAGAAGGCCAUCUCCGACACAACCCCAAGCAGCGGUCAAGGCUGGCUUUGAAUUCCUGAGCUCAAGUGAUCCUCCCUUUCUUAGUCUGCAAGCAGCAAGGACUACAGCCCGGGUGUCCUCAUAUGGGAAUGGGGACAUGAGGCGUGCCCCGCAGCAGUGAUUGACACUGAGUUUCUGAAGAGCCCUGGAAUGGUGCCAGGCAUGGAAUAAGCUGUUUUUGCUGUGACUGUUUGGGUGUCUGAAAUCCCACCCUAACAGCAGAGACCCAGGCGGAAGGCAGACCUCAUUACCAUGCCCAUGGCUGGGCAGUGCCAGGUGCCCUGCUCCUAACCACAGCAGGUUGGCACCUACUGCCUGCAGUGUCCUUUCCCCAGCCCUCAAGCUGGUUGGUACCUGCUCAUCCUUGUGGUCUGGACCAGAAUGUUCCUGCCCAGGCCCAGCUGGGUGUGCUGCUUGGUUCCUGCCACCUUCGUCUGCUGCACUGUAUUUUCUACCUGUCAUACACUUGAGCUCUGUCUCCCUGGCCACGGUGAGCUCUGCAGGGAGCCUGUGCCCGGCACCGGUGCCUAGAAAGUGUCCAUAGAGGCCUACUGUGACAGUUCAUCUUGAUCAUCUACUUCACUGGACGGGUAAAUGCCUAGGGAAAUUCACAAGAGUACACUUCUGAGCGUGUCUGGGCAUUUCCAAGACAACUGGAUCACGAGGACACCAAGUUCAUCAGUGGAUGAAUGCCGUGAGUGAGAUGGCGUCAUGGCGUUGUUGAAGCUGCAGGACGCGAACGGCCUUCCUGCACUGUGCCCUUCUCUGCCAUGACAUCUCUGCCUCCCACAGACCUCAGUGAUGGAUGGACUGAAAUCUCCAAAACCAUGUGCAAAAAUAAUCCUUUUCUCCUCUAACAUGUUCUUCCUGGGCAUCUGGCAACAGUGAUGAAAUGUUUUCAAGAAGCCCAUAGAGCUUCUGUCAGCUUCUCAGUGCCUCAGUCAUUUUUAUCCUAAUUUUACUUUUUAUUAAUGUGUUCAUAAUUUUAAAAAA